rnacentral:rRNA from 1 species
CUAGGUGAGCCUGCGGAAGGGUCAUUG